rnacentral:rRNA from 1 species
GAUGAACGCUAGCGGCAGGCCUAAUACAUGCAAGUCGAACGGGAUUAAGAGGCUUGCUUCUUAUGAGAGUGGCGCACGGGUGCGUAACACGUAUGCAACCUACCUUCAACUGGGGGAUAGCCUUCCGAAAGGGAGAUUAAUACCGCAUAACAUAAUUGAUUGGCAUCAAUUGAUUAUCAAACGUCAGGGUUGAAGAUGGGCAUGCGUCCGAUUAGUUAGUUGGUGAGGUAACGGCUCACCAAGGCUACGAUCGGUAGGGGAUCUGAGAGGAUGGCCCCCCACACUGGUACUGAGACACGGACCAGACUCCUACGGGAGGCAGCAGUAAGGAAUAUUGGUCAAUGGACGGAAGUCUGAACCAGCCAUGCCGCGUGCAGGAAGACGGUCCUCUGGAUUGUAAACUGCUUUUGUUAGGGAAGAAACUUCCGUACGUGUACGGGACUGACGGUACCUAAAGAAUAAGGAUCGGCUAACUCCGUGCCAGCCGCCGCGGUAAAAC